rnacentral:lncRNA from 1 species
UGUGCAAAGUACGCAGCCAGUUCCCUCCUUUGAACAUCAAGACUCCCUGUGCUUCCAAAAGCAGGAAAGCCAUUUGCUGCAGCAAUGAAAUCACUAUAGGUAUAGAAAGGAUUGGCAACGUUGGAUGGGAAGAACUGCCUAAACACAGACUCAGUUACGAUGCUAGAUGGGUUUGCUAGUGUGGGGGAGGGAGAUCCAAUGCAAAGUAUAAAAGAUACGAUGAUUGCUGCAAAUGCCAUGGGUGCUAAAGUUUAUGAGAACUUGAAUGAAUUUGGGUUGGUUUUAUACUCUUGAAGCCACCCGUGAACAUAUUGACUGAAAUGCCGUGUUGAUGGAAACUUCCUAAGAUGGAAGGUGUCUUUUAUUGACUUUUCAAAAUACUUUUGAUUGAGGUUAUGAUCUUCGGUUUAAAGGUAUAAUAUCCACAAUACGUUUUUAUAUCUAGAAAUAAAAUACCAAUUUACACAGUUAUCAAUCUUAGUAAAUAGAAAUUAAAUUGUAUUUUAAUUAAAAAAUUUGGAAAAAGAAUUUUCUUGCAUGAUUUUUAGCUAGAAUAAGCUUGGACAUUCUAAGAUAUUUUAUCAUCUAAUGGUUGUUAGUUAUUUAUAUUAAUAUUAUAUUUAUAGUUUAUAAAUAUAUUAUGAUAUCUUUAUAUUUACUAAGAAAGUAUAUUCAUCACUAUUGGCAAUGACAUAAAUCGAAAUUUAAACUCAAGACCUACUAUAUACAUAUAUGGGAUUAUUAUGAAUUUAUACUAAAAUUAAGUUUCUAGAUUAGGGGCUAAACCCCUUAUUCGACUACUUCGGCAACGUCAUCUCCCACGCCAGCAGCCACAGCACCGCGAAGGAUCUCCUGGAGAAACCAGCAUCCUACGCCACGGAUCUCAUCCAGGCUUCCAUCAAGCGGCUUGACAACGAGUACAUCCGCUCCCAGAUGGACUUCGUGGAGCUCCAGCAGAAGAACCCCGUCCAGAUCGCGAGGAGUGGCAAGACGGUGCUGAGCCCAAACUUGAGCGUGACGAGCUGGGCGCAGCUUCCAAUCUACGAGCUCGACUUUGGCUAUGGAACUCCGGUGUUUGCUGGCGGGCCUUACGUGCCAUUCGAGGGGAUUAGCAUCAUGCUGCCUUCCUACACCAGGGAUGGAAGCAUCGACGUGAUCAUCGGCCUGUUUGAGCCAGAUAUGGCCAAGUUCCGGGAGAUUUGCUUCGAUGUAUAGCAAAUGGAAUCCAUCGCAAGUCCUUGACCGGAGCUGGAGUGAAUCGAUUCGCUCUUAUCUAGAGAAGCUUUCAUGAGUUCCAGAAUGGAGUGAGAAUCUAUACUGGAGUUUAUAUGGUGAGAGCACACUUCCUAAGAAUCAAGAUUGAACGAGGAUAAACACGUUAAUUUCACUGGCUUGAUCAAAACCAUAGUGUGGAUUGUUUCAGUUUGUACGGGUCGUGGUCAAGCCAUUAUCGGAGACUAAGGAACCAACAAGCCUUUACACUGACCAUUUUAUCGUGAUAUUGUCGUAAUAUUCGCAGUGUGACAAGUUGUUUGGUAAGCCAGGCAAAAUUUGACUAUUAUAGAAAUUUAUGAAAGAAUUAAUGCAAGAACAAGCUGAUUAAGUUUGCUUGAUGAGGUCCCUGAGCUGCUGGAUGAGCUUGGGAUUGAUCUGGAACGCCCUCUCGAUGACAGCGUCAUAAAUGGGAGGAUUGGAUGCAAACACUGCUUUGGUUACCUGGGUGACACCCGGAUUCUGGGAGUUGAAUCCCGCAAGAGCAACAGCCGGUGUCUUCCCAACGUUGAGCUGGAAGUGAAUGAGACCACGCGGAAACACAAAGAGAUCCCCUGGAUGCAAAGUUUGAGCGAAGAGUGUGUUGUUGGUGGUGCUCACGAAUCCAACAUAGAGAGUUCCUUGCUGGAGGAAGAGGAGCUCGGUUCCUCGGGGGUGGACGUGAGGGGGAUUGACGCCGUAUGGAGCAUAAUCAAUCCUCGCAAAAGAGACGCCAAGAGUGUUGAUUCCCGGGAAUACGCCAACAUUUGCAUUGGUGACUAUGGAUCCGAGCUUGUUGUUGGUGUUCCCGGGGUUCCUGAGUCCCUGGAACAUGAAAUCACUGGCUAGAGUUGCCGCUGCAGGCUUGCAAGUGAAUCCAUUGACGAUGGUGUUGCUCUUUCCGUCGCGGACACAGAAAUCCUGGAGGGCAUCUUCAUCUGAUCCAUGGACGAAAGCAAUGGCACAAAUGGCAACUAGACAAAUGGCUAACUUGUAAGACAUCUUGUAUCUUCACACAGAUUUUUUGUUGUGAUGCUACUGAAUUGAUAAAGAAUGGAGUGGGGAGAAGUGUGGAGGUCGCUGGAGUUUAUAUAGUACUCCAGAUCUGACUUGGUCAUUUUACUGGAACAGAGAACACGUUAAUCAGACUUGAUCAGAUGUUACAUUCUAUUUAUCUUCCGAGGAAAGAACCAAGAAGAAGUGGACCAAGAACUGUUCCUUGAAAACGUUGUAAGGAUUGGUUUGGUCAUGCACACGCUGUCCAUUUGAUAGCUGUGGGGCUCAACAAGUUGAACAACAAGUCACAGCCGUGAGAGUUUUUGAUUCGUCCUAAAUAGGGAAAUGGUAGCGCCAUGUGUCACUCAAGGACUUUCCGCCGGCUCCGGAUCAGGUGAGUGAUCAAGCCUCUAUUGUUUCUGUGAUCUUUUUCCUGCAGGAGUGUUACGAUGUUCCCCAGGAAUUAUAAAGGAGGCCCGAGCUUAGCUUGUGACUCACUGUGUGGAUUUUGCUCUGUUUUGAUUCAAGCACGCUGAUCAAUGGUGCCUGCAAAGUGGGAAGAAAAAGAAGAACAGUGUCCAGCAUACACUAAGAUAAGGACGAGGAGAGCGGAAAAUGCGUACAGGAAAUCCAACAUCUCCUCUCGAGACUGGGAUGAGGACUAAACUCGAAUUGAUCAAUGGACAGACCGAGAUCAAGCAUCCAUUUUCUCAGCACGAUAUUCGGCUGCACAGGUGUACGGAAAAAUCUGUACCGGCGAGUCGAGUGUAAAUGCGCCGGACGGUGUUGCUCAGGCAUGGAAACAAAGGUGGUGGCGGUUUAAGCUCAGCGUGCCUUUCAGCGAUGAUCUCAGAACCCGGUUAUUCGAGCUUGAUGUAUAUGGGAAGAGCACCAUGGGACAUCAGGUAGCGGGGUUAACUGGGAAAAGUACUCGCUUGAAGGCCAGAUAAUUAGAGUCUAUUGUCAGCGAUUUGUAAGCUUCUUGCAGAAGACCACAAUAAGUGGACGGCUGGAAUGCCUGAUCUUCUGCUGUGGAAGGAGCAGCUGGCCGAAGUCAAGGGUCCAGGGUCGCUGGUUUCUUAUUCUCUCGGACGCUAAUUUUCCAGUGGAACUUUGCAAGGUCUCACAUGUGGUGUCACUUGUGGACAUUAACUUCUUUUGAUUGAAUCUUUCUCUAUACUUCGGCGAGACGCACGCGCAGAGGUAUUUAGAACACGUCUUUGACUUGUAUGUGAAUUAUUUCCUUCAGGCUUUGACUUCUGAGGUCAAGACAUGACAACGAGAAGCUUCUACAGAAGGCCCUUUUGCAACACCAACCAAGAAUCGAACCACGUCCGCUUCAAGCUCCUGGUUUGCAUGAGUUACCUUUCCAAGAUGCUUUUAGACAGGGAUAGUGAUAGAGACGAGGAGAAGGUUGCAACCCCGCGGCAGAGCAGAUACCAGCCUUACAUUUAUGACUUCAAUUCCAUCAUAACAGGCUGCGUCCAGUCUCCGGACAGUGAUCAAGAACAGCCCGACCAGGAAGUAUUUAGCGUGCUCAGCGAGUGCGCCAGAGAGAGCAGUGGCCACCACAGGCUUACUUUAUGGGCCAUGACUUCCACACUUCUCGGUCAUGCAGCCGGGCCUUGAACUCGCCAACGGUCGAGCCUUCGGGAAACUCAAGAACCACCGCGUCCUGCUCUCGACCAUUUCCAGCUCCGAGUCGAUGCAGUGCGCGACCGCAUCGUUCAAACAAAGCCAUCGACCAGCAAGCACAAUCUAAGAAAGGAAUGGGAGCUCUAAACCUCCCUCUCGUAAAAUAUUUUGUUGUACGAGUCCAUGAACAACUGCUGCUCCUUGAGAUGUUCUUCUAGAGGCAUGACUAUAACUUUCAAUACUAUAAUUAAUGGCUGUUAUAACUAAACACGGUAUGCUACAAAACAUAAAAGCUAUGGCUGAUAAGUUUAUGAGAACUUGGAUCAAUUACGCUGGUUUUAUAUCAAAGUCGUUAGUGCCACCCGUGAACAUAUUGACUACGAAUGCCAUGAACUCCCUAAGAAGUUUCUUACUUAUUUCGAAAUAUUAUGGAUCUUUAGUUUAAGCACAACCAAGGUUUUCACCUGGUGAAACACCCAACUGUGAGCAGAAGUCCCUGUAAUAAGUGAUACGGCUUUGUGCUGGUUCUGUCUCACUGCCCCUGCCACACUCUAGCGCUCCAUUGAUGGCUCGAAUUGUAGCUCCAAAUCCUUGAUUCUGUGUUAUUGCGGUGUGGCAAUUCGAGUUUUGCAUCCAAAACCACACUGAUGACCUCCAUGCAAGUAAGCCAUUCUGAGCAACUUGGUCUGGGUUCUGGAGGAGGUUCAUAUUGAAAGCCCUUCCCGCGGCAUCAUAGUUGUAAUUCCUGCAGAUGAAAUGUUGGAUUUGUACUGCAUACGUUUUUCAUUUCUAACUUACCAAGUGAGCUGCAGAGGACCUCUUCCAUAGUAAGCCAUAGUGCCUGCCGGACAUGAAACUCCACCGCUAGUGUUACAAUAGACGUUGUUUUGGUUGAUCUCUCGAAUGAAUUGCAGUGCUACAAUCAAGUAGAAAAACUUCAAGACAUUAGUGAGAAAUGGAUUUUUCUAUGUAAAAUUACUUCCAGUCUCGUGCUUCACAUGUGCAAAGUACGCAGCCAGUUCCCUCCUUUGAACAUCAAGACUCCCUGUGCUUCCAAAAGCAGGAAAGCCAUUUGCUGCAGCAAUGAAAUCACUAUAGGUAUAGAAAGGAUUGGCAACGUUGGAUGGGAAGAACUGCCUAAACACAGACUCAGUUACGAUGCUAGAUGGGUUUGCUAGUGUGGGGGAGGGAGAUCCAA